rnacentral:miRNA from 9 species
GCCUAAAAUUGACCGAUGAGAU